GAUGAACGCUGGCGGCGUGCCUAAUACAUGCAAGUCGAGCGAACGGACGAGAAGCUUGCUUCUCUGAUGUUAGCGGCGGACGGGUGAGUAACACGUGGAUAACCUACCUAUAAGACUGGGAUAACUUCGGGAAACCGUAGCUAAUACCGGAUAAUAUUUUGAACCGCAUGGUUCAAAAGUGGAAGACGGUCUUGCUGUCACUUAUAGAUGGAUCCGCGCUGCAUUAGCUAGUUGGUAAGGUAACGGCUUACCAAGGCAACGAUGCAUAGCCGACCUGAGAGGGUGAUCGGCCACACUGGAACUGAGACACGGUCCAGACUCCUACGGGAGGCAGCAGUAGGGAAUCUUCCGCAAAGGGCGAAAGCCUGACGGAGCAACGCCGCGUGAGUGAUGAAGGUCUUCGGAUCGUAAAACUCUGUUAUUAGGGAAGAACAUAUGUGUAAGUAACUGUGCACAUCUUGACGGUACCUAAUCAGAAAGCCACGGCUAACUACGUG
rnacentral:rRNA from 1 species